GAUGAAGAACGUAGCGAAAUGCGAUAAGUAAUGUGAAUUGCAGAAUUCAGUGAAUCAUCGAAUCUUUGUACGCACAUUGCGCCCGCCAGCAUUCUGGCGGGCAUGCCUGUUCGAGCGUCAUUUCAACCCUCGAGCCCCCCCGGGGGCCUCGGUGUUGGGGGACGGCACACCAGCCGCCCCCGAAAUGCAGUGGCGACCCCGCCGCAGCCUCCCCUGCGUAGUAGCACACACCUCGCACCGGAGCGCGGAGGCGGUCACGCCGUAAAACGCCCAACUUUCUUAGAGUUGACCUCGGAUCAGGUAGGAAUACCCGCUGAACUUAAGCAUAUCAAUAAGCGGAGGA
rnacentral:misc_RNA from 1 species